rnacentral:rRNA from 1 species
CGAGUGCCCCAAGCGUUAUCCGGAAUUAGUUGGGCGUAAAGGGUGUGUAGGCGGUCUUGCUAGUCUUCUGUCAAAUUCUUCGGCUUAACCGGGGGUCCGCAGGGGAAACGGCAAAACUUGAGGAUGCGAGAGGUGAAUGGAACUCAUAGUGUAGGGGUGAAAUCCGUUGAUAUUAUGGGGAACACCAAAUGCGAAGGCAAUUCACUGGCGCACUCCUGACGCUGAAACACGAAAGCGUGGGUAGCGAAUGGGAUUAGAUACCCCAGUAGUCCACGCCCUAAACGAUCUUCUCUAGCUUUUCGGAGUAUCGACCCUCUGAGAGGCGAAGCUAACGCGUUAAGAGAAGCGCCUGGGUAGUACGGCCGCAAGGCUA